rnacentral:lncRNA from 1 species
UCAAUUCCCAGUACCAUACACACAAAAAUCAUAUUACUAGUCCUGUAACUUGAUUAUGGUGAUAGUUUCUAAAGUCUAUAUGUGUGACAAAAUUGUAUAGAACUGUAAACAAAAAUGUGCAUGUAAAAACUGGUGAAUCUCAAAAAAAAAUGUACCUCAAUUAAUAAUAUUGUAUAAAUGUUAAUUUUCUGGUUUUUACAAUAUGCUAUGGUUAGGUAAUAUAUUAAUAUUAGGGAACAGUAAAUGAAAGGUACGAAGGUAAAGUGAACAAUUUUUCACUUCCUGUGAGCUUUACCAUUUCAAAAUAAGAUGAUAUUUUAAAAGUCCAUUAAAGAGAUAAACCAAUUGGAGAAGAAAAUAUAGAACUCCCAAAUUCCACCACCAAAAGGUAAUUUCUACUAAUUUUGAUGAGCAUUUUCCUGAUAUCUCUGUAUUUGUUGAUCACCUCUUACAUUUCAGGAAUUCUUUUGUAUGUAUUCUUAUCAGUUUCUCACAAUAGCCCUCUGUAUUAGAUACUGUUCUUAUCCUCAUUUUAUAUAUAAAGAAACCAUAUCUCAGAAAGAUGAGAUAACUAGCUGGAUAACUUUCAUAACUUGUAUGCCAGCUAAGAUCUGAUGCCUAAAGCUAACUCUUUUUCCUGACUAUAUUAGUUCUUUGAAUUGAGUCCACUUUAAUCAAAUCCAGCCUGUUUUGUAGGCACUAAAAUGUGAACUUCCUGAAUGUUGGACUUCCUAUUCUAGUGAGCUACCUUAAUGGCUUCCAUCACGUUGAUUAUGCACUAAAACUGCUUGCUCAGUUUUCAAGUCUAGUCUCAUAACUUCCAAACACUCCACAUUUAUUUUAUUUUCUGCUGAGUUUUAUUUUUAUUUUCUAAAUUCUUCCUGUUUCUUCUUUCCAUAUAAGAUAGAUGCCAAGAACUCUCUCCACUUAUAGAAUUUUGCUACUAGCAUAUUUCCCAUUGGGUUGCAGAUUUAUAAGUUUUAAUUUUGUCUUUUUAAAAAAUAUAUUUUAGUUGUAGGUGGCUACAAUACCUUUAUUGUAUUUAUUUUUACGUGGUGCUGAGGAUUGAACCCAGUGCCUCACAUGUGCUAGGCAAGCCUCUACCACUGAGCCCCAACCCCAGCCCUUAACUUUGUCUUAUUUAAACUUUUCUGACUUUCUGUAAAUAUUACCAAAGUGAUUUUAUCUGAAAAUUAUAUAACUAGCUACACAUAACCCAUCCCACUUUCCUGUUUGUAUUCCUCUCAAGCAUGCCAUCGGUUUCUAUAAGAGAGGUGUGGCAGGCUGCGUACAAGAACAGCCUUUACUUGCCCCACCAUCACUUCAAUUUCUUGCUUUACACAUCUAUUGCCAUAUAAUAUCUUCUUCUAUUUCCUCAAUACAUCUGGCAUUUCAUUUCUCUGCAAGAGUUUGGAGAAAAAAAAUCAUAUAUUACAGCUUUUUUUUUUGAUCCAGACACAUUUCAU